GGAUUCCCCUAGUAACUGCGAGUGAAGCGGGAAAAGCUCAAAUUUAAAAUCUGGCAGUCUUUGGCUGUCCGAGUUGUAUUCUGGAGAAGUGCUUUCCGCGCUGGACCGUGUAUAAGUCUCUUGGAACAGAGCAUCAUAGAGGGUGAGAAUCCCGUCUUUGACACGGACUACCAGUGCUUUGUGAUGUGCUCUCAAAGAGUCGAGUUGUUUGGGAAUGCAGCUCAAAAUGGGUGGUAAAUUCCAUCUAAAGCUAAAUAUUGGCGAGAGACCGAUAGCGAACAAGUACCGUGAGGGAAAGAUGAAAAGCACUUUGGAAAGAGAGUUAAACAGUACGUGAAAUUGUUGAAAGGGAAACGCUUGAAGUCAGUCGCGUUGGCCGGAACUCAGCCUUGCCUUUUCGCUUGGUGUAUUUUCUGGUCGACGGGCCAGCAUCGAUUUUGACCGCUGGACAAGGAUCGGUGGAAUGUGGCACCUCCGGGUGUGUUAUAGACACUGGUCGUAUACAGUAGUUGGGAUCGAGGACCGCAGCNNNNNNNUUCGGCUUAGGAUGCUGGCGUAAUGGCUUUAAACGACCCGUCUUGAAACACGGACCAAGGAGUCUAACAUGCCUGCAAGUGUUUGGGUGGAAAACCCGAGCGCGUAAUGAAAGUAAAAG
rnacentral:rRNA from 1 species